AUGCUUAGUCCAGAGGAGCUGCUUGUUUUCGACGCGGGGCGCAUGAUGGGGGCCCUCGGCAGGCCCGAUGUUCUAGUUGAGCCUCCGGUUGGGGUGUGCGGUGUUGUUGCCAAGGCCACACAGACUAAAGCAACGCCAUUAUCUCUAGAGGAUUCUCUCACCAAGGUUACUUGUGCACUACCACAACCUCUGCUUGGCACCCCGGCGCCUUUGCAUGGGGAGAAGGAUGACGGGCGACAAAGUGGGCGUCUGGAAAAGAAGAACAAGGUGUGCAACAUCCUGACGUCCAAGUGCGCGGAGCACAGGUUGUUAGAGACUUUUAGUGAGCUGCCGGAGGUCAGCGAAGCAGAGGGCCCUAAGCAAAAGAUGAAAGCAUAUCUAGACAUGUAUAAAAAACCGCUCUCACCGCAAGUGAUCAAGGCGUUGAGGACUUUGGCAAGCAUCGCAGAAAAAGUUAAAGUUGAACCUUUCAGGAUGUUUUCCACUUGA
rnacentral:rRNA from 1 species